AUUGAACGCUGGCGGCAGGCCUAACACAUGCAAGUCGAGCGGAAACGAUCCUAGCUUGCUAGGAGGCGUCGAGCGGCGGACGGGUGAGUAACGCAUAGGAAUCUACCCAGUCGUGGGGGAUAACCUGAGGAAACUCAGGCUAAUACCGCAUACGUCCUACGGGAGAAAGCGGGGGCUCUUCGGACCUCGCGCGAUUGGAUGAGCCUAUGUCGGAUUAGCUAGUUGGUAAGGUAACGGCUUACCAAGGCGACGAUCCGUAGCUGGUCUGAGAGGAUGAUCAGCCACACCGGGACUGAGACACGGCCCGGACUCCUACGGGAGGCAGCAGUGGGGAAUAUUGGACAAUGGGCGAAAGCCUGAUCCAGCCAUGCCGCGUGUGUGAAGAAGGCUUUCGGGUUGUAAAGCACUUUCAGCGAGGAAGAAAGCGUGCCGUUUAAUACACGGUACGGACGACAUCACUCGCAGAAGAAGCACCGGCUAACUCCGUGCCAGCAGCCGCGGUAAUACGGAGGGUGCAAGCGUUAAUCGGAAUUACUGGGCGUAAAGCGCGCGUAGGCGGCGUGUCACGCCGGGUGUGAAAGCCCCGGGCUCAACCUGGGAACGGCAUCCGGAACGGGCAGGCUAGAGUGCAGGAGAGGAAGGUAGAAUUCCCGGUGUAGCGGUGAAAUGCGUAGAGAUCGGGAGGAAUACCAGUGGCGAAGGCGGCCUUCUGGACUGACACUGACGCUGAGGUGCGAAAGCGUGGGUAGCAAACAGGAUUAGAUACCCUGGUAGUCCACGCCGUAAACGAUGUCGACUAGCCGUUGGGUCCCUUGAGGACUUAGUGGCGCAGUUAACGCGAUAAGUCGACCGCCUGGGGAGUACGGCCGCAAGGUUAAAACUCAAAUGAAUUGACGGGGGCCCGCACAAGCGGUGGAGCAUGUGGUUUAAUUCGAUGCAACGCGAAGAACCUUACCUACCCUUGACAUCCUGCGAACCCGGAAGAGAUUCCGGGGUGCCUUCGGGAGCGCAAAGACAGGUGCUGCAUGGCUGUCGUCAGCUCGUGUUGU
rnacentral:rRNA from 1 species